UUCUUCUUUAUUAAAUUUAUUCCUACAAAACCCUAACCUCGAUCCGUUUCUCUUCUAUCUAUUCUUCGUAAUAUUGGAAUAGCCCACCCUAGAAUAAACCAAAAGGGUACCGUCCUUUCUUCCAAUUAAUUUGAAUUUGUUAGGGAUUGUUAGUUCCGGCACACUAUGUAUGCACGCACGUCUGAUCUAGCUUUAAUUAGAUCUUUCUAGUCCUCAUAAAAUUCUGACGGUUCGGACUUAUUCCAUCCAGAUUUCAUUCUGUUGGUGCUAAAAUCGACGUACGAAAGGGAAGAAAAAUUUGAAAGAUUACAAACAUUUUGAAUUUGGCGAUUGCCUUUCUAAGGUAAUUAACAAUAUGUUGUGGCAUUUGGACAUUGAGCUAAAGAUUAAAUUCCUCCAAACAGCGGAAAAUUGAAUUAUACGAUGAAUAGAGUUGCAAAGAUGGCGUUCUUUAAUUCGAAUAUGCACUAUCUUGUUGGUAAUGGCUUCCCAAUUCUUGGAACUGGUGGUGGUGCCUUUAGGCUUCAACUAUGUAUAUCACUCUGUAACUGUUUGUUGGUUCUCUGUUGUGGAUUUGGGCUUGCGUUUAAAGAUCAUUUUCAAGAGAGACAGAUUUUUUCCCUUUGUUUGGUGAUAUAAGAAGGUCCUGACCAGUUAGAGUAUGUUAAUGGAAUGGAACUUUGUAUAA